AUUCCCUUCAGCUUCAGGAGUGAGUUGAUUAUUCACAUGUUCUUUUUAGGGGGUUUAAGCUGCUAGUCCUUAAAGAAUAGAUGCUGAAGGUUGUCAUUGAUUCCUCUUUUCUUUCCUCCCAUGUCUGCUCUGGGCCUUCUCAUUGAUGUAGUAUCUUAGGUUACUUCCAAAAUAAUUUGAGAAACGGAUUUAUAGAAGAAGCUAGCUUUCCAGUAGAACAGUUUAGAUGACAAGAUUAAUGUGAUAAGAACUAAGAAAGCCCUUCCUAGUUUUCAUUGAAAAUGUGUUUUUAAUGCCCAGAGGUGCCCAGUCAAAAAGGAAAUAUUACAGAAGGAUUAUUUUCUUCAGCAGAGUUCUUGGGCAUUGCAAGUUCCAGUGUAAUUAGGGAAAUCACAUGCGAGUACAUCAAUACACUUCAGAUGCCAAUACAUUGGGCUUAAUGAGGACAGCAAGCCUGCUUUUAUUAGGGGAUUGAAUAAAAGUGAAAGGAGUUCUUGAAAAGAAUUGGUAAUUUUGGAUGGGAUAAUUCAUCACUUCACUCCAGAUCAGUUUUUCACAGUAAGAAGUGCUGGCUCUUCAGAAAAUUUGGCAUAACCAAAGUUUAUUGUCACUAUCUCCUCCUUCUCACAUUGUCCUUUGUCACACCCCCAGCAGGUCCACAGUGAUCCUGCAGGCCACCCCCAUGGACCCUGCCCAUUUUCUUCCAUCGGGGGCUAUCUUACAUCAAUCUUUCAAGGUCUCCUCAGUAAUGCAGGCCAGUUGGAUUUUUGCUUUCUUUUCCCAGAGGACAAUUCAGCCUCAGCGUCUUAGUCUAAAAGGAUUCAUGCAAGCGUGUCAGAUGUUUUAUUAGGCUAAGGGGGAGGUAUUUCGGGUUGUGGGGAGCACUUAAUGCAACCCUGUAUGACAUUCCCUACUCAGUGAUGUUCAGGCUGCACGGGCCAACAUGGAAAGGGCUUAAGGGAGAUGACAAAAACAAAAUCUCUUCUUCCACAAAGAUUUUCAGUUGAUCAAUUUUGUUACUUUUUUGUGAUGAAACUACCUGCACUGCAGCUAAUGAUUUUUUUCUGAAGGUGGAAAAGGUAGGAGCAACAGCUUUCAGUUCUAAGGAUACAUUCUGUUGACCUUCAUAAGCCCUAGGAACUAGAGGGGCAAGAUUGAGGCGGAAAUAGAGAGAAUAAUUUGCUCUAUAGUAUUUUACCCCUGAGCUGCCAUCUGGGGCUUUCAGAGCUUAGCACUGCACUCUUGCAAUGUUGCACACACCACAGGAGCAAUAUCAAGAGAUGUCAAACAUGAGUGGUAUUGGUCACUGGAAACAGCAGAUUCCAAAUAGCUGUCUCACCAGACUGUUCUUUCAGAAGAUUCAUUUGUGCCAACUACUUCUUUGUCAUGGAUCCUUCCUGGUUCUGCAACACAGAUGUGGAAAGUGAAGAGAACACGUCAUGGAAUUCCAUUUCUAAGAGUGGAAAAUAUACAAUUUACCAUGGGAUGUUUAAGAUAUUAAUAUAUUGUUCACCAUGUGUAUCCAGAGCUUUAGUAGAAGUAGGUUGAAAGAGCCAUGCAUGUAUACACGGUGCUCCUCAUUGUCAAACGCUGAAGCCUGUUACAGGCUGGGUUUGGGGGCUGGGGGUACUUACGGGACAAAGUCUGACUCUCGGUCUGUAGGCUGAGUGCCUUCUUAGUGUAUUGGGACUCAGCAUGUAUUCACCCCAUCUGUACUCACAAGCCUAAUUCAUUAAUCAGGAUGACUUACUGGGCUGUGAGCCCUUUGAGGACAGGACCUUGUACCUUUAUCUUGUGCCUCUCAUGCCUAGCAUAGCACCAGGCAUGUAACACAUUCUUUUUAAAAAAGUGUUUUACAGCUUUAUCAAGGCAUACAUGAUGUCAGAUCAACUGCAUGUGUUUAAAGUUUUACACUUGAUGAGUUUUGAUAUAUGUCUAUACCCGUGAAACCAUCACUGCAAUCAAGAUAAUAAACACAUUCAUCCACCCUAAAGUUUCUCGUGUCCCUUUGCAAGCUGCCCCCCUUCCUCCCAUUGUUCCCAGACAACCACUAUUCUGCUUUCUGUCACUGCAGAUGAGUUUGUGUUUUCUGGAAUUUUAUAUAAGUGGAAUCAUACAACAUGUACUCUGUUUUUCUGGCUGUUUUCACUCAGCAUAAUUUUCUCAAGAUUCAUUGAAGUUCUAUAUAUUAAUAGUUUGCUACAUUUCAUUGCUGAAUAGUAUUCCAUUGUAUAAAUCAUAAUAGGCACCUAACAAGUGUUUGUGGCUUUACACUGACUUGAAAAUUAAUUUUUAAGAAUAUAAUUGGGCGAAAAGUGGACAAUGGGAUACCACUCUAUUCUUGGUGAGUGGGUUCACUCAGGAAGUGGAAAUAAGAAUCAGGAGAUAAUUUGGCAUGGUAGAGACUUUUGUUGUCAUCCAAUAUCUAUUUUUCCUUCUUUCUUAGUACUAGAAUACCUGAGUUUUGGCUGGGCACAGAACUGUCUGGAAUACAGACUGCAAUUCCCAGCCUUCUGUGCAGUUCUGUGUGGCCAUGUGACUAAGUUGUGGUCAAUAUGAGUCACGGAAGAAUAGAAGAACAACUCAGAGGAGGAAGAAGUCAGACAUAGCCAGACACGGCUGCUAGCAGUUCCACCAAUGAAAGAGGAGACCAGGAUGUUUAAAACAGGCAAACACAAGGUGCGAAAAACCAGAAGCGAAAACUUCUGAGGUCAUUUAAGCAGGGACUAUCGUUAUCCCCGGAAGCAGAGAGAAGUUCAAUCCUUUGCCCAACAUCACACUGCAAGCAUGUGUUGGAGCUGAGAUUCAAACCCAGGCAUCCAGGGUCCAGGGCCCAUGCUCUUAAUAUAUUCCAUAUCUUAGGAGAAUUUCCCCUAUUUAAGCAAUAAAAGUGCAAAAAUCUUGUGGCUAGCCAAAA
rnacentral:antisense_RNA from 1 species